CCCUCUCUCUCUUUGUCUGAGGAAAAUCCUCCAAUUUAGGCUGUGUGUCCGGAGUGCUGCCAGGCCAUAAUCUAAGGAAUUGCAAUCCAUUAUCUUGAAGAAGCACAGAUUCAAACAGAGCCAUGCCCAUCCCCCCCCCCCAGGGUAAUCGAUGGACAGCCAGCGUACAGGGUGAGACCCUUCCUGAGGGUUCGACCAGGGGCAGGGGUUUCCAGUACCUGGUUGACUGGGAGGAUUAUGGCCCGGAGGAGAGGUGCUUGGUUCCUGUUAAAGAUAUCUUGGACCUGGCCCUCAUUGCCGAUUUCCACCGCCGACACUCCGGUCAGCCAGUCUUCCCGGUUUUGACCACUGCCUGACUCUGGACUACUUUCCUGCCUGCCUGUUCAUCCUGCCUGCCCUGACCUUGAAUCUGCCUGCCCUUUGGUACCUAUUGAACUCUGAAUUGGUUUUGACCUUUUGCCUAUCCCUUUUUGGAUUAAAAAACAAGU